AGAGUUCGAUUAUGGCUCAGGAUGAACGCUAGCUACAGGCUUAACACAUGCAAGUCGCGGGGCAGCAUGAAGGAUGCUUGCAUCUUUUGAUGGCGACCGGCGCACGGGUGAGUAACGCGUAUCCAACCUGCCUGUUACCACGGCACAGCCCGUCGAAAGGCGGAUUAAUGCCGUAUGUGGUCCUUUGCGGGCAUCUAAUUAGGACUAAAGGUUCAGCGGUAACGGAUGGGGAUGCGUCCGAUUAGCUAGACGGCGGGGUAACGGCCCACCGUGGCUACGAUCGGUAGGGGUUCUGAGAGGAAGGUCCCCCACACUGGAACUGAGACACGGUCCAG
rnacentral:rRNA from 1 species